rnacentral:rRNA from 1 species
UACGUAGGGUCCGAGCGUUGUCCGGAGUUACUGGGCGUAAAGCGCGCGCAGGCGGCGGUGCGUGGCCCGGCGUGAAAGCCCCCCGGCUCAACCGGGGAGGGUCGUCGGGGACCGCACCGCUUGAGGGCGGUAGGGGCUGGUGGAAUGCCUGGUGUAGUGGUGAAAUGCGUAGAGAUCAGGCGGAACACCCGUGGCGAAGGCGGCCAGCUGGGCCGUCCCUGACGCUGAGGCGCGAAGGCGUGGGGAGCGAACGGG